CCUACGGGUGGCAGCAGUGGGGAAUAUUGGGCAAUGGAGGAAACUCUGACCCAGCAACGCAGCGUGAAUGAUGAAGGUCUUCUGAUUGUAAAGUUCUUUUUUAAGGGAAGAAGAAUGUGACGGUACCUUAGGAAUAAGCCUCGGCUAACUACGUGCCCGCAGCCGCGGUAAUACGUAGGCGGCGAGCGUUAGCCGGGAUGACUGGGCGUAAAGGGUGCGUAGGUGGUUUGGCAAGUUAGUAGCGUAACUCCAAGGCUCAACCUUGGAACUACUACUAACACUGUUGGACUUGAGUGCAGGGAGGGCAACCGGAAUUCCUAGUGUAGCGGUGGAAUGCGUAGAUAUUAGGAGGAACACCAGUGGCGAAGGCGGGUUGCUAGACUGUAACUGACACUGAGGCACGAAGGCGUGGGGAGCAAACAGGAUUAGAUACCCGUGUAGUC
rnacentral:rRNA from 1 species